GAUCGGUGAAGAACCUAUCCCAAACCUGAUUACGUGAUCAAAAACACAUGUGAAUCUGACAGCUGAGUU
rnacentral:snoRNA from 1 species